rfam:Clostridium sp. IEH 97212 scaffold_0, whole genome shotgun sequence.
AAUUAGUGCUAGGGGUGCCAAAAUUUAUGGCUGAGAGAUGAUAAAUUCAUUAACCCUUUAACCUGAUCUGGUUAAUACCAGCGUAGGAAAGCUUGAGUUUUUUGCA